GCUUGAGAGGGAAGAAGAGAAGUAGAGGGAGAGAGAAAGCUUGAUACAGAGAUGGGCUACUGGAAGUCCAAGGUUCUCCCCAAGAUCAAGAAGGUCUUCGAGAAGAACGGCGUGAAGAAGGCCGCCGCCGCCGAGGCUACCAAGUCUUUUGAUGACUCCAAGGAGGAGAUAAAUAAGGAGUUUGAGGAGAAAAAAAUCGAGCUCGGGCCGAAGGUGUUGGAGAUCUAUGAAGCUUCUUCGAUUGAGAUCAAGACUUUGGUGAAGGACCGCACCGAUGCAGGGGUGAAGAAGCACUCGGUGGCGGUCACAAAAAUCCUCGAAGAACUAGUGAAGAUUGAAUUCCCUGGAUCCAAGCCAGUCAGCGAGGCUUCUUCCAAAUUUGGCCCUGAGCUCCUCCCAGGACCGGUCCUCUUCAUCUUCGAGAAGAUCUCGACCUUCGUACCGGUAGAAGAGUUGGCAGCUCCGGCAGCUGAAGAGCCUGCUGUGGAGGCUGCUACCAGAGAGAUAGUUGUCGAGGGAGAGAAGACAGAAGAAGUUGUGGACAAAGUGACGGAGGAGGUGAGCCCACCACCUCCAACUCCAGUCGAGGAACCGGUUGCAGCAGCAACAGCUACGGAGGUGGUAGCCGAGCCGGUUAAGCCUGCUGAGGCUGUGAAGGAGGAGCCACCUAAGCCUUGAUGGUCAUGAAUUCACCUUCCAUCAUCUUGUACAAUUACAAACCAGUGUCCACAUAUUUGUUAUUCUUUCACCUUACAUCCCUUUCUUUCUGUUUUGUAUGUAUGCUAGCUUGCUAUUUUGUUGUUCUUGUGAAGUAAGGAGAAGGAUUGUAUUUACUAUU
rnacentral:misc_RNA from 1 species